rnacentral:rRNA from 1 species
GUAAGGAAUAUUGGACAAUGGACGCAAGUCUGAUCCAGCCAUGCCGCGUGAAGGAUUAAGGUCCUCUGGAUUGUAAACUUCUUUUAUAAGGGACGAAAAAAGGCUUUUCUAAGUCGUCUGACGGUACCUUAUGAAUAAGCACCGGCUAACUCCGUGCCAGCAGCCGCGGUAAUACGGAGGGUGCAAGCGUUAUCCGGAUUCACUGGGUUUAAAGGGUGCGUAGGCGGGCAGGUAAGUCAGUGGUGAAAUCCUAGAGCUUAACUCUAGAACUGCCAUUGAUACUAUCUGUCUUGAAUAUUGUGGAGGUGAGCGGAAUAUGUCAUGUAGCGGUGAAAUGCUUAGAUAUGACAUAGAACACCUAUUGCGAAGGCAGCUUACUACGCAUAUAUUGACGCUGAGGCACGAAAGCGUGGGGAUCAAACAGGAUUAGAAACCCGGGUAGUCC